ensembl:misc_RNA Y_RNA Y RNA
GGCUGGUCCAAGUGCAGUGGUGUUUACAACUAAUUGUUCACAACCAGUUACACAUUUCUUUGUUCCUUCUCCACUCCCACUGCUUCACUUGACUAUCCUAGU